rnacentral:rRNA from 1 species
UNAGUCGUAACAAGGUUUCCGUAGGUGAACCUGCGAAGGAUCAUUA